UAGCCGUAAGCGAUACUCGCUAGGUGUCGGCCACGGUGCGACCGUUGUCGGUGCCGUAGGGAAGCCGUGAAGCGAGCCACCUGGGAAGUACGGCCGCAAGGCUGAAACUUAAAGGAAUUGGCGGGGGGAGCACAACAACGGGUGGAGCUUGCGGUUUAAUUGGAUUCAACGCCGGAAAUCUUACCGGGACCGACAGCAACAUGAAGGCCAAGCUGAAGACUUUGCCGGAUUAGCUGAGAGGUGGUGCAUGGCGUAGUCGUGU
rnacentral:rRNA from 1 species